rnacentral:tRNA from 1 species
GGCAAUAUAGUAUAAUGGAAGGAACGUUCAAAUGUGGAAUCAAGAAGACUUAGGUUUAAAUCCUGAUUUUGCCA